CUUGGGUCAACCACAGGCUGCCAACUGAUGAGACCGUGUUCAAUGGAGCCUAAGCUUCAGAAGGAUGGUCUGGCUGAGCACUAUAUCCAAAGUGCCUCACACACUGCCUGGCAGAAGAAACUUCUCUAUACAUACAGGAAUUUGACAACAGUUUGUGCCACUUAUGGAUUUAAAGAACUGGCACCUUGAAUGGGAUUCUGAAUAGAAUUCGUACAGAUGGAAUGUAAAUAUCACCCUGAACUGAAUUGGCCCUCAUCCUGUCCAGCCAAUCUGGAAAUGUCUGGUUUGUCUCCUGGGAGCACUCCCCAAAGAACCUUCUACACACAGUUCUCCAACUCAAAGUCUGUUUUCAGGGAAUCCAAUUCAAGACAGGGAUAGUUGGAAGUCACAACCGUUCCAUGGACUUUGAUGUUCUUGAUAUUCAUUCUUGGUAUUGGCAUUAUGAGUUGUGACACUAGGAGGAGUCUCCAAGUGACUUUGAAAUGAGAAGACAGGAACAAAGAGGUGUCAUACAUCCCUCACAGAUGGUCAGAAAUAUCUAAAGAGUUUUUGCCAAAGAGAUAGGGUCCUGAAUGGGCAGCAGGGUUAAGAGAAAAAUGUGUAGUUAUUAAUGUUAAUGAGACAUCCUUUGCUACAAGAUGAUGGUGAGGUCUCAAGGAGAUCUAGGUUAUAUUUACAAGGGAUCACUCCAAUUACUACAUGUCCGUCUUUUCUAAAAUUAGACUUUAUUGUGCUCUAUUAAAAUAGCUUUAUCUUUAGAAGAGAGUUUCUCAAAAUGUGAUUUGGGGACCACCUGCAUCAGGAACACCUGAGAAUUUGUUAAAGUUGCAGAUUCUAGAGCCCCAUCUCAUGCUUACUGAACCAGAAUCUCUGGGAAUCUGCAUGUUUAUUUAACAAGUUUUUCAAAGCUUGCAUGUUUAGCCAGCUUUUAAAGUAAAAGUUUUCAACUGCUUUAGUUGGUAAAGGGUUUCUUUUGCAGAUGAUGAAAAUCUUCUGGAAUUGGAUAGAGGUGAUGGCUUCACAACAUUGUGAAUAUAUUAAAAACCACUGAAAUGAUUUCAGUUAAAAUGGUCAAUUUUAUGUUUUUUGAAUUUAUCUCAAUUAAAAAAAUAAAACUAGAGGGACAGAAAUUACAUCGCCAGAGGCUGCAGCUAGGAGGAGGGAAUGGAAUGCAAAAGAUCACAAGGUAAUUUGGGGGGCUUGAGGAAAAUGUUUUAAAUAUUGAUUGUGAUGGUGGUUACACAUACAAUGGCCAAUCUCAUGGAACUAUAUAACCCAAAAGGUAAAUUUUACUACAUAGAAGUUAUUUCUCAGUAAACCUGGCUAUAAAUAAACACAUAAAUAAAUAACCUCCAAGAGAUUCUUAGAAACCCUAAAGCUUAAGAACUACUGCUUUUAAGUCGUGGUCUCCAAAAUGAGGACUCACUUCUCCAGGGUUCUGGAAGACAAGCCGCUGGGGUACAGGAAGAAUAUAAUUGAAAUCCUAUUUAUAUUUUUAAAAAUGUUAACAUGAGAAAGAAAUGACAUUUUCCUAACAUUUGGAAAUCCACUUGGAAGGCUUGACUCAUAUUUAUAUAUAGAAUGACAUUGUUGCCCCCAUCCCAUCUGUGUCAUGUCAGGUACACAAGAUGUCCUGGGGGAAGACUGAGCAUUGCAUAAUGACCUUGUUGACCUCUGUGAUCUCAUUCAUUCACUUGCUUGUAGCAUAAUGCCACAUACUGCAGUUUACAGGGAUUUAUGACUUAUAAUGUCUAGUUUUAAAUAAACUAAUCCUCAAACCAAAAACAAAUGAUUUUUAAAUAUCUCUGCAAAGCAGCUCCUGAUUGAAGA
rnacentral:lncRNA from 10 species